UACGUAGGUGGCAAGCGUUACUCGGAAUCACUAGGCGUAAAGCGCAGGUAGGCGGUUUGAUAAGUCUUUUGUGAAAGCUCCUGGCUCAACUGGGAGAGGUCAAAGGAAACUAUCAGGCUAGAGUGUGGUAGAGGAAACUGGAAUUCCCGGUGUAGCGGUGAAAUGCGUAGAUAUCGGGAGGAAUCACCUAUGGCGAAAGCAGGUUUCUGGGCCAUCACUGACGCUGAGCUGCGAAAGCUAGGGGAGCAAACAGG
rnacentral:rRNA from 1 species